UUUUUUUUAAUGUAUCUUAUUGCUGAAAGUAUCACAGAUGUCCCCUUUUCUGCCCAUUGACCCCUCCACCCCAGCCCCGCCCCCCGGGUGUGUGUGCUUCUUGUCUCCUCCGCGCCUGCACGUUCACUCCUUGCCUUGAAAUCGUCGCCUAAGUUGUGGACGUUCUUAACAGUCAAGAAAGCCUGAGAGAAGCGCCAGCCUGUGGGGCUUUUGCUUGCUUUUUUACUUUUUUCCGAACUCGAGACCCGGGCCAGGUGUUGUAGGUAGGAAGGAAGGACGGACGGACGCUGUCUUCUGAUUCUCCCUCCCGUGCCUUCCCGGCAGAAGAGGAGAUUUGGACAUCCAAAGAAACACCAGGGACGUGCACACACAGCGGGAAGACUAUGCAAGGCACAGUGAGAAGGCAUCCAUCUACAAGCCAAGGAGAGGCCUCAUCAAAACCAAACUUGCCACACCUUGAUCUUGGACUUUCAGCCUCCAGAACUGUGAGGAAAUACAUUUUCUGUUGUUGAAAACACCCAGUCUGUUGAUAUUUUGUUCUGGUAAAACAAGCAAAUUAAUAGACAUUA